rnacentral:tRNA from 1 species
UCUCAGGUGGCUCAGUGGUAAAGAGUCUGCCUACAAUGCAGGAGACCCAGGUUUGAUCCCUGGAUUGGGAA